GGCUAUGAUGGGUGUGUGAGCCUGAAGAGGGCCAGGGAACACCGGGGAUCCGAUGGGAAGACGAAGUGAGGACAUGAGCGCCAUGCAGAUUUUGUAAUUGCAAGUCUGCCGUGGACAUCUGAGGGGCGAAAGGUCUCUCGUUGAACUUGGAGCUCACCAACUGGACGGUCAGGGGUGCCAGGGAUCCCCUCAUUCCCACUAACCGGUGCUGCAGUCACGGAUGUGCUCCACCACGUUUUGAUUCCACAUGGGUGCUGGGGAUCCAAACUUCAGGUCCUCGGGCUGUGCAUCAAGCACUCUACCAAUGGAAUCAUCUCUCCAGUCACUGCUGCUCUCAACAUUUGCUGCGAGAGCUAACCUUGGCAUGCCGAGUUGACGGGCAGUGAGCGAGGACCUAGUCCGAGGCGCCUCUGCUUUUGCUGUGUGACUUUCGAUGAGUGGAUCCAUCUCUCUGAGCCUCUGUUUUGUCACGGUAGAGAGUGUUCAUAACGGAGCCCUGUUGGCACCAGCUGUGCUGAAGAAGUGAGACAGGAGUGACAGGAGCAGUUCUUGACCCCGAGUGACAGCUUGGUGGUGGCAGAUAUGGCUGUCAUCCCUGCUCAUGCUGACUCCUUGGGUGACUGGGAGGGGAGGGGGACAGACUCCCUGGAGCCCUCUCCUCCAGUUGAGUGAUGCAGUGAUUAGGCAGGGUGUGUCUAUUAAUGGCUCCUGGACCCACCCAAGGCAGAUGAGCAGGGCAGGGGACAGAGGCAGAGGGCGCAGUCCUUGGAAACAGGCAUUAACUUGCAGGAGUUCUUGCCUACACUGUACCUGCUUCCUGCUCUUUUCCCCAGUUUAUAAGGAAGGAAGGUAGGCUAGGCUGGCUGAGUCCGCAAGCAAGUUGUAACGACCUCUCUCCAAAACCCUUUGAAGAUGCUGGUCAUGCUAGGUGCAGACAGACUCACACCACAGUCAGCAGACACGAGAGAUGAGGGUCCAGAGGCAUGCACAGUACAAGGAUGUUAACUCUUGUGGGCUGAGAGUGGUCCUUGACACUUAUCAGAUGAAACACCCCCAGGACCCAGGAUAUGACCGUGUCUGGAGACAGGGACUUCACAAAGGUGCCUUGGCUAAAUGAAGUCAUACAGGUGGACCCCACCCAACAUGAUGGACAUUCUUAUAGGAGGAGGAAGUCAGGACCCAUACAGGCACAGAGGGCUGAGCUGGAAGCACACAAGGAAAAGGUGGUGUCUAAGGCCAGAAGAAAGGCCCCUGGAGAACCCGGCCCUGCCUCACCCUGUGCUUGGGUGAUGGCCUCCCCUAUGAGAAAAUGGAUGUCUGCUGCCUUGGUCUCCCCAGCAUUGCUCAUGGCUAAGGCAGAGCCCACGCUGACAGUGUCUACUGUGGCAUUCGGUUCACAGAGGCUUGCUCAUUGGCUGGAGGCAACUGAGCUGGCAAGGGGCCGAGAUGAGCCGGACACCUGUGGUGUCUGUGCAUUCUCAGCCAAUGAUGCCAGGGAGUCCACUGGUAUGUGUGUGGGUGUGGGUGUGAUAAGAUGUCCCCAGGGACAGCCUCCAUCUGGUCUGCGUGGGAGAAUGCUCUGUGCCCUGCUGACUUUCCAAAACUCUCUUUAGGUUCUAGGACUGACACAGACCCAUCUCUUGGAUAGGCGACGCUAUCAGAAGUUCCGAUGGCCUCAGUGGGCCUUGACUUUGGCUGUAGUGUGUCCAGGGAGUUUGGGGCUGGCUCAAGAUACUUGAAUGAGCUGUAACGAGGAGCAUCUCUGGGAAGAGGCCACUGCCUCUCUAUCCUCUCGGAGCCAUUUUCUAGUGCAGUUGGCCCACAGGGAACUGAGGUGGCCAGAUGUUCCCUAGGGACCCUGCCUGAGCUGAUGCCUCCUUGUAGCAGCAGAGGCAAAUGGGCCUUGGGUGUGUUCCAGACAGCUGUGGGCAGUGCACGCACCUGAGGCCAGUAAGCUGACCCUGCUGUGUCCAAAGUUACUGGGUCCAUGUGGUUAGCCGAGCCCUGGCUUGGAAGGUGUGGGUAGUUCUGCCUCACCCAGCUGGGACUUGACAUUGAGCAUUGGAGCCUGAGGGCCCAGUCACGUGACCUUUUGGUCACCCACAGUGGCCACCACCUCUCUGAUCUGUCUUCUGUCCCCAAUGUGGUUUCUGACGUGCUGAGCAGCCAUAUUGCUCCGCUUAAUGAAUUUGCCGUCUGGAUGCAGGUAAAACUCUUCCAGGUGAUGUAUCCCAUUCUACAGAUGAGGAAGAGGCUGAGAAAGACCCCACUGCUGUCUGAACACCUGCCAGUGAGGAGUGGGGUUUGCAUCGAACACUCCUGCCUGGAGCCCCGCUGCCCAGUCCUUGGGUCGUCAUUUGAAAUCUUCCGAGUACUGCUUUCAUCCCCAGGGCCAUAAACGUACCCCUUGGUGACAGUGUCCAUAUGUUUACAUCAUGGAAUGAUGUUGCUCCCAGGACUUUAAUAAUUCUUCUUCAGGCUCCAAAUUAUAACCCUCACUCAACGUCACUGAUGAGCUGUCUCAGCUUGCAUUUUUCCAAAGAUGGUACUUUUGCUUUGAAUCCAUAAACUACGUCGUG